rnacentral:misc_RNA from 1 species
UUUCCGUAGGUGAACCUCCGGAAGGAUCAUUAAAGAGUAAGGGUCUUCGGGCCCGAUCUCCAACCCUUUGUUUAACUACCAUGUUGCUUUGGCGGGCCCGUCUCACGACCGCCGGAAGUUUGGCUUCGACCAAACUUCUGGCCCGUGCCCGUCAGUGGCCCCUUCAAAUUCUUGAUCAAGUAUGAUGUCUUAGUUAAAAACUUAAUAGUUAAAACUUUCAACAACGGAUCUCUUGGUUCUG